rnacentral:rRNA from 1 species
UACAGAGGUCCCAAGCGUUGUUCGGAUUCACUGGGCGUAAAGGGUGCGUGGGUGGUGAGGUAAGUCGGAUGUGAAAUCUCCGAGCUCAACUCGGAAACUGCAUUGGAAACUACCUUGCUCGAGGGUUGGAGGGGGGACUGGAAUGCUUGGUGUAGCAGUGAAAUGCGUAGAUAUCAAGCGGAACACCAGUGGCGAAGGCGAGUCCCUGGACAACUCCUGACACUGAUGCACGAAAGCUAGGGGAGCAAACAGG